CCAACCUUAAAAGCUAGGCAGAAAAGAAUGGUUUCAAGUAAAGAUGAAGGGAAAUUAUUUAGUAAUGAACUAAGGAACUUAAUCAUACAUUAUUAAGUUAUAAUUAAACCUUAAGUAUGAUCACUUAGGGUUAAAGAAAGUCAAGUGGAGAUGAAUGUGUACGAUAUGCAAUAAGUGAACUAAACAAAUGACGAUCGAGUUUCGAUUAAUAACGUACGGAUGUUAGUAAGCCGUGAGGAAGGAUAAUUAACUCGAACCGAGUUGUAUUAAUGAAAUAAUUUCACUUUAGUUAUAGAAGAGAACGAAGUUGGUAAGAAUGAUGUAAAAGAAUGACGGAAAGUCGGAACCCAUAAUAACAAAUCUAAUACGGGAUUAAAUUGAGAAGAAGGGUAAGAUUCUUUAGGAACCAAGUAUGUUCAUUCAUGACCUAAUGUGGUAUGUUAUGUGAUUAUGUGUUGUAGAUACCGUACAGACUCGAAGGAAACGUAAUUAUACUGUAGCAGACGCUGAAGGCAAGUUUUUCCUAAACGUUUGUCUAACCUCCGUGUUAGCCAGGUUUUCAAAUGAUUCAAAUUAUGAGAUGCAUGUAUGGUUUUGAAGAAAGAGUCGAUGCCAGUUUUAGCUCGUCUAGACUAAUCUUGAUAGAUUGAUUGAACUGUUUACAAGUCUUUCAAUAUAGAAUUGCUAACGCUAUCCUACGCCAACUAUUUGGUACGGAUUCAAGGUAAGCCUGAAUAUGAAUAAACAAAUGUAUUUUCAUCGAGUAUUCGAUGGGCAUGUGAGGUUGCCACAACUUAAACGUACACACGUUUAAUGGAUGUAGUGUUGAUCAACAUAGGGUACUAUAGGUUGAUCACUUAGAUGUACUCGUAAGAUGUGACGACCCCAAAAUAGGUCCAUUCCACCCAACCCAUUCUGAGUCGCCAAAUACAUGGUACAGAAAUUACUACAACUUUAUUAUUACAAUAGUUAAAACUGUGAGUUUGAAUACAAAUAUUAUCUUCUAGACAAUAUCUAUACUCAAAUAAAUCCUCAUCACAUUUAUUGAUACAUUAUUUUACAAAAAUGGUGAGGACUACUAAACAACUCUCUCU
rnacentral:lncRNA from 1 species